rnacentral:rRNA from 1 species
AUUGAACGCUGGCGGCAGGCCUAACACAUGCAAGUCGAGCGGAUGAAGGGAGCUUGCUCCUGGAUUCAGCGGCGGACGGGUGAGUAAUGCCUAGGAAUCUGCCUGGUAGUGGGGGAUAACGUCCGGAAACGGGCGCUAAUACCGCAUACGUCCUGAGGGAGAAAGUGGGGGAUCUUCGGACCUCACGCUAUCAGAUGAGCCUAGGUCGGAUUAGCUAGUUGGUGGGGUAAAGGCCUACCAAGGCGACGAUCCGUAACUGCUCUGAGAGGAUGAUCAGUCACACUGGAAGUGAGACACGGUCCAGACGCCUACGGGAGGCAGCAGUGGGGAAUAUUAGGCGAUGGGCGAAAGCCUGAUCCAGCCAUGCCGCGUGUGUGAAGAAGGUCUUCGGAUUGUAAAGCACUUUAAGUUGGGAGGAAGGGCAGUAAGAUAAUACCUUGCUGUUUUGACGUUACCAACAGAGUAAGCAACGGCUAACUUCGUG